rnacentral:rRNA from 1 species
UACGUAGGGGGCAAGCGUUGUCCGGAAUCAUUGGGCGUAAAGAGCGUGUAGGCGGCCAGAUAAGUCCGCUGUGAAAUCUCGAGGCUCAACUUCGAGCUGUCGGUGGAAACUGUCUGGCUAGAGUCCGGAAGAGGAGAAUGGAAUUCCUGGUGUAGCGGUGAAAUGCGCAGAUAUCAGGAAGAACACCCGUGGCGAAGGCGGUUCUCUGGGACGGUACUGACGCUGGAGAACGCGAAAGCGUGGGGGAGCGAACAGG